CUCGGGGCGAGAUUCCUUGUUAGUGGUGUCGAUUGUAACGGCCCCGGGUAGUAUCCCUAAUAGAUAAUUGUUUGUUCUUUUUCUUUUGUGCAUCAUCAUGGCAUAUGCAUCAUCUCAUCCAUGUUUUUAUCAAAUAAAAUUAUUUUAUAAACCAUAGUUAUUUUUGUUUCCUUCUCAUAUGGUUUAAUAAAACCUUCUCCCUCCUUUCAUUUAAACAAAACCUAACCCCGAAACUAUCUAACAAAUAAACUUAUUUUUAAAUGUUUCAAUGUUAGAAAUAAAGCGGUGCUGUUUUGGUUUGGUUUCAAUUUGUUUUUCAAAACAGUUUUAAAAUAAAAAGGAGAAAAAGAAAACCCUUCCCGGGCUCCCCCUCUCUCUCUUUUUCCCCUCUGGCCCGAACCAACCCCAGCCCAUCUCUACCCGGCGGCCCAGCUUCCUCUUCACCAGCCCAUCCCACCUUCCCGUACCGGUUCGAGCAUCUCCUUGGCGUCUUCCUGGCAGGGGCACGAGAGAGGCGUGAGCCUGUAAUGGCAGACGUCACCCUCCACCAGCCUGGCCUCCACCUCUCCUCCCCUUUUAAUCUGCAUCCGAGGACGCUCCUGGAAACCCUAGCCGCUCAUCCCUUCUCCCUCCCUCUGGCCGCCGCCAUCCUUUUCUCCCUCUUCUUUACCCUCUCUUUAUCUCUCUUCUCUGUAAGCAACGAACGGAGGAAAACCACGUCGUACCACCGCAGAAACCUCCACCUCGCUGCCGUUCCAGGCCGCCCCUCACUGUGCUGAUGCCACCGGCGGAUGCGCCUCGUCGCCCUCUCCAACCUCAUGCGAGGAAUCGAGCUGGGGCUCACUCAAUCAAUGCCAGUUUCGCCGAUUCUCUUCUCCGGUUGUCACCCUCCGGCGAGGAUUCCGGCCGCCUCCAUCAUCCCCUGGACAUUCUGCGGCCUUCUUCACGUUCCUGGUGCUCGCCGUCGGCUCCGCUCCGGUGCCUCCCCGUCUUCAAUUCCGCUAGAUCCUGCAUCCUCACGAAGUUACGCGUCGAACGCGCCAUCUCCCUCGUCCUGAUUCGCGCGGAAGUGCCAGAUCUCUCCUCGACUGAGACGUCCUCCAUGGCCGAAUGUGUGCGAGCUCGACUUCCUGUUUUCCUAUGUGUUCAUGUCGUGCGCCCCGUCUUGUACAACAGUAACAUCUACCAGCGCAGUGAUCCACACGCAGAUGGGCCUCGGCCCGUAUCUCUCCCAGUGUAGCCAUCGCCCAGCGCGCAGCAGGCCGCUAUUCGCCGCUGCCUCUGCGCAGCAUUUGCUUCUUCCCGGAUAGGAUCGUGAAGUGGUGUGGUGAGAUACGACAAGUUCUCCGGAUGUCCCUCGGCAAGCUUUAACAGGCAAGCAUUUCCCUUAUACUCCUGCCCCUGCAGAAGUCGCUUACCUAUUUUAUUUUGCCUUCUCCCUCAUGCUAUCCUUAAGUUGCGUUCUUGUCACGUGUCCCUUCCACUUGUUACCUCAAGCAGCCUAUAUUGCCUCCACCAACCACCUAUAGCUAUUAUUUGGUUAUCGGAUCUGCCUUGCGAGUCAUAGUGCAUGCUAGUGCUGUUUUAUCUCGUUACCGUUAUCGCUAUCUUAUCGGGUUAUCUGUUGAGGAAUCAUGACACAUGGUUUAUGGAUAUAUAAUGUUGGAGAUAAUCAUGCUUUACUUAUUGUUAACAACUAAAAUGAUAAGCAGAGGCAUCUGUGAGCCCCUUUGCGAAAGCAUCGGAACUUUGACUCACUAAUGUCCCCUAGGACCCGAGUUCCUGUUAUCUGUUCCGAGACUGAGCGCUCUAACCACACGUGGGUAUGCUUCUGGGUCUCCCCUCGACCACUGCCGGAAUCUACAGCUUUGUCCAGUGGCCACAACUAGUUUGCAAUGUUUUACCAUUUGUUGUUUGCGUGCAUGCCAGCAUGUUACUUAUUUACUUUGGGAAGCCCCUGGGUGCCUUGUAUCCCUUGUUUCUGGUAUGCACGUAUAGGUCGUGGAGCCUCUGCGAAGUGGUUUAUCGCCCCAGUGUGUGUUUAAACCACCUAGCACGUUGACACAGAUAGCUAAGUCCGCUUCGGAGAUACGGCCGGACUUCGAUACGGGUUCAACUUGGUUAGGUGGCUUCCUGGACAUUGUUGUCGUGAAGGAGAGUGUGAGUCGUGAUAUUCACCUAUCGCAAGUGGGUUGAUCGUGCGUGUGGGCACAUUUGGGCACCCCUGCAGGGUUAAAUCUUAUCGAUAAGCCGUGUCCGCGGUUAUGGACGACUUGGAGCUGUAUGACUCGACCAUAGACAACUUACACAUGUUGCUUCAAUCAUAAUAACUGGUGUAGUAUCUUAGCGCAACUCUAAUAAUAAAUGGUUAAAACUUGUCAACCGUGUGAGUGCCUUUGCCAGUACUUCUUGGCGAAGGGGGAACACAUCGGCUGUGUUAUGUUUGCGAGUAUAGAACUGUUAGUUAUGCGCUCUCUCACCUUCUCUGAUAGACGACAGUUGUAGAGUGUCUCUAUAGGUUUUUAGUGCUUGCGCGCUGCCGCUUAACCCCACCAUAUUGCCUAUGACGUUCCUCUUGCGUCCUCUAAGUCCCCUGCGUGCCUCAAGUACAAAGGACGACUGGUUGACGAAUGCUUAUACGUCUUGAAGUCUUGUUAAGUACGAACCGUACUUAUUGCUGCUUCUACGGGAUAUAACCGGGCAGGUAUGAAGAUAUGUUCGAUGAAGACGACGCUAGCAUGGUUACCCUUCCGGCUUGGCCUGGGCCGGGUUAUGGACGCCACUGGUUAUCUUCAGGACUCUUAGUCCAAAUUUGUAUCUUGUCCGUACUCGGACGUAUUUGAUCUUCUGUAUGAUUUGGAUCUUUGCAUUGUAUCUAUUCGUAUCUUGACUCGUUGGAGUCGUUUGUUGUAAUAUAUAUGUUUCU